UACGUAGGUGGCAAGCGUUGUCCGGAAUUAUUGGGCGUAAAGGGCUCGCAGGCGGUUUCUUAAGUCUGAUGUGAAAUCUCGGGGCUCAACCCCGAGCGGUCAUUGGAAACUGGAAGACUUGAGUACAGAAGAGGAGAGUGGAAUUCCACGUGUAGCGGUGAAAUGCGUAGAGAUGUGGAGGAACACCAGUGGCGAAGGCGGCUCUCUGGUCUGUAACUGACGCUGAGGCGCGAAAGCGUGGGGUGCAAACAGG
rnacentral:misc_RNA from 1 species